rnacentral:rRNA from 1 species
UACGUAGGGGGCAAGCGUUGUCCGGAUUCAUUGGGCGUAAAGAGCGUGUAGGCGGCCAGGUAGGUCGGUUGUGAAAACUGGAGGCUCAACCUUCAGAGGUCGACCGAAACCAUCUGGCUAGAGUCCGGGAGAGGAGAGUGGAAUUCCUGGUGUAGCGGUGAAAUGCGCAGAUAUCAGGAAGAACACCCGUGGCGAAGGCGGAUCUCUGGGCCUUACCUGACGCUCAGGCGCGAAAGCUAGGGGAGCGAACUGG